AAAAACAUCGCCUCCUGCUCAUCACAAAUAAGAGGUCUAGCCUGCCCCGUGACUAUAUGUUUAACGGCCGCGGUAUCAUGACCGUGCAAAGGUAGCGCAAUCACUUGUCUUUUAAAUGAAGACCCGUAUGAACGGCUCAACGAGGGCUUAACUGUCUCCUCUCCCCAGUCAAUGAAAUUGAUCUCCCCGUGCAGAAGCGGGGAUAAGCUCAUAAGACGAGAAGACCCUGUGGAGUUUUAGACAAAGACAGCCCCACAAUAAACAACCCACUUUUAAGCGGCAAUCACGGGCCCCUGCUCCUAUGUCUUUGGUUGGGGCGACCAUGGAGCACACAAACCCUCCACGCGGAAUGAGAGUACUACUCCCCAAAAUAAGGGCACCCGCCCUAACUAUCAGAACUUCUGGCCACACGAUCCGGCAGAGCCGAUUAACGAACCAAAUUACCCCAGGGAUAACAGCGCAAUCCCCUUCCAGAGGCCUUAUCAAAAAGGGGGUUUACGACCUCGAUGUUGGAUCAGGACAUCCUAAUGGUGCAGCUACUAUUAAGGGCUCGUUUGUUCAACGAUUAAAGUCCUACGUGAUCUGUUUCAAAAACCGGA
rnacentral:rRNA from 1 species